rnacentral:rRNA from 1 species
UACGUAGGGUGCAAGCGUUAAUCGGAAUUACUGGGCGUAAAGCGUGCGCAGGCGGUGAUGUAAGACAGAUGUGAAAUCCCCGGGCUCAACCUGGGAACUGCAUUUGUGACUGCAUCGCUGGAGUACGGCAGAGGGGGAUGGAAUUCCGCGUGUAGCAGUGAAAUGCGUAGAUAUGCGGAGGAACACCGACGGCGAAGGCAAUCCCCUGGGCCUGUACUGACGCUCAUGCACGAAAGCGUGGGGAGCAAACAGG